rnacentral:misc_RNA from 1 species
AAGUCGUAACAAGGUUUCCGUAGGUGAACCUGCGGAAGGAUCAUUAUAAAAUUUUCAUAUAUUAUUUAUUUAAUAUAUAAAAUUAAUAUACAAAAUGUAUUCAAAACCCACACACUUUAUAACCAAAAAAAAAUAUAUAUUUUAAUAUAUAUUAUAUAUAAAAAACAACUUUCAACAACGGAUCUCUUGGCUCUC